rnacentral:rRNA from 1 species
UACGUAGGGGGCUAGCGUUGUCCGGAUUUAUUGGGCGUAAAGAGCGUGUAGGCGGCCAGGUAGGUCUGCUGUGAAAACUCGAGGCUCAACCUCGAGACGUCGGCGGAAACCAUCUGGCUAGAGUCCGGAAGAGGAGAGUGGAAUUCCUGGUGUAGCGGUGAAAUGCGCAGAUAUCCGGAGGAACACCAGUGGCGAAAGCGGCCACCUGGACUGCACCUGACGCUGACACGCGAAAGCUAGGGGAGCGAACGGG